rnacentral:rRNA from 1 species
UAGGCGUAAAUGAUGCGAGUUAAGUGUGGGGGCGAUCUACGAGAUGGCCCUCGUGCUGUAGGGUAGCCGUUAAACUCGCUGCCUGGGGAGGUACGGUCGCAAGGCUGAAACUUAAAGGAAUUGGCGGGGGAGGCACCACAACGGGUGGAGCCUGCGGUUUAAUUGGACUCAACGCCGGGAAGCUCACCGGAUAAGACAGCGGAAUGAUUGCCGGGCUGAAGACCCUGCAUGACCAGCUGAGAGGUGGUGCAUGGCGUAGUCG